UGUGUCGACGGAUAGACACGGCGUUCAAGGAAGAACGUUAAGGACAUUGCAGGAUGCAAUUCAUCAGGAUGAUGAGAAGGAACAAAAGGGAUUAGGGAAAAAAUGUGGGCGGGUCAAACCGCCCCUUUUUUU
rnacentral:sRNA from 1 species